rnacentral:rRNA from 1 species
AUGGCUCAGAACGAACGCUGGCGGCGCGUUUAAGCAUGCAAGUCGAGCGGCAAGGGCCUUCGGGCCCCUAGAGCGGCGGACGGGUGAGUAACACGUGGACAAUCCUGCCCCCCGGCCCGGGAUAGCCCAGGGAAACCUGGAUUAAUACCGGAUGAGACGGGACCCGCGAUGGCGGGACCCGGGAAGGCGCUGCGGCGCCGCCGGGGGAUGAGUCUGCGUCCCAUUAGCUAGACGGCGGGGUAACGGCCCACCGUGGCGACGAUGGGUAGCCGGCCUGAGAGGGUGGACGGCCACAUUGGAACUGAGACACGGUCCAGACUCCUACGGGAGGCAGCAGCUAAGAAUCUUCCGCAAUGGGCGAAAGCCUGACGGAGCGACGCCCGCGUGAACGAAGAAGGCCGUGAGGUUGUAAAGUUCUUUUCGGGAGGGGGAACAACCGUGGCAGGGAAUGGCCGCGGGAUGACGUGAAUCCCGGAAUAAGCCCCGGCUAACUACGUGCCAGCCGCAGC